rnacentral:rRNA from 1 species
AUUGAACGCUGGCGGCAGGCUUAACACAUGCAAGUCGAGCGGGGGAAGGUAGCUUGCUACCGGACCUAGCGGCGGACGGGUGAGUAAUGCUUAGGAAUCUGCCUAUUAGUGGGGGACAACAUCUCGAAAGGGAUGCUAAUACCGCAUACGUCCUACGGGAGAAAGCAGGGGAUCUUCGGACCUUGCGCUAAUAGAUGAGCCUAAGUCGGAGUAGCUAGUUGGUGGGGUAAAGGCCUACCAAGGCGACGAUCUGUAGCGGGUCUGAGAGGAUGAGCAGCCACACUGGGACUGAGACACGGCCCAGACUCCUACGGGAGGCAGCAGUGGAGAAUAUUGGACAAUGGGGGGAGCCCUGAUCCAGCCAUGCCGCGUGUGUGAAGAAGGCCUUAUGGUUGUAAAGCACUUUAAGCGAGGAGGGGGCUACUUUAGUUAAUACCUAGAGAUAGUGGACGUUACUCGCAGAAUAAGCACCGGCUAACUCUGUGCCAGCCGCCGCCGUAA